CGAGUGGCGGACGGGUGAGGAAUACAUCGGAAUCUACUCUGUCGUGGGGGAUAACGUAGGGAAACUUACGCUAAUACCGCAUACGACCUACGGGUGAAAGCAGGGGAUCUUCGGACCUUGCGCGAUUGAAUGAGCCGAUGUCGGAUUAGCUAGUUGGCGGGGUAAAGGCCCACCAAGGCGACGAUCCGUAACUGGUCUAGGAGGAUGAUCAGUCACACUGGAACUGAGACACGGUCCAGACUCCUACGGGAGGCAGCAGUC
rnacentral:rRNA from 1 species